AUUGAACGCUGGCGGCAUGCCUUACACAUGCAAGUCGAACGGCAGCACGGGAGCAAUCCUGGUGGCGAGUGGCGAACGGGUGAGUAAUAUAUCGGAACGUGCCCAGUCGUGGGGGAUAACGUAGCGAAAGCUACGCUAAUACCGCAUACGAUCUAUGGGUGAAAGCGGGGGAUCGCAAGACCUCGCGCGAUUGGAGCGGCCGAUAUCAGAUUAGGUAGUUGGUGAGGUAAAGGCUCACCAAGCCGACGAUCUGUAGCUGGUCUGAGAGGACGACCAGCCACACUGGGACUGAGACACGGCCCAGACUCCUACGGGAGGCAGCAGUGGGGAAUUUUGGACAAUGGGCGCAAGCCUGAUCCAGCAAUGCCGCGUGCAGGAUGAAGGCCUUCGGGUUGUAAACUGCUUUUGUACGGAACGAAACGGUGAGCUCUAAUACAGUUUGCUAAUGACGGUACCGUAAGAAUAAGCACCGGCUAACUACGUG
rnacentral:rRNA from 1 species